rnacentral:lncRNA from 1 species
GCCUGGGAGCGCGACUGCGUACCUGCGCAAAGCUGGAAGCGGACGCUUUUUUCUUCUUACUGGCGCCAUAGCCCCCGCCGCUGCUGCCAUUGUGGGAAGGGCUGGCCGGCCUCUUCUUGCUGUUCCGGACUAUUCCGGGAGUGGAAGUGGUGGCCACAAUUGGAAUUUGCGCCGCCAUCGCACUCCGAGUCUUCCCCUGGUCCCCCCACCUUUUUCCCAGCGCGGGCCUUGGAACUUCCUUUCCGCUGUUACUUCCGUCUUGAUGCUUGAAAACCCGGCCUGGACUCCAAGCUGUAGCUGGCUUCUCUCGGUGCAAUCUAAAAGGCGGAGCUCGGAGUAGCCUGUGCCGUCGGGACGGGAAGAUGUCAGCGGGCGUUGUCCUGCCACUCGGGCGCUCUGGGCGUGGGCCUUGGGUGGGGCACGUGCCUGGAAAUCCCCAUUGAUAGAGGAAUAGAAAAUCUCCCAAUCUUUUUAAGUAACUACGUUUUAAAAAAUUAA